AUUGAACGCUGGCGGCAUGCUUUACACAUGCAAGUCGAACGGCAGCGCGGGCUUCGGCCUGGAGGCGAGUGGCGAACGGGUGAGUAAUGCAUCGGAACGUGCCCCGGAGUUGGGGAUAUCCCGCCGAAAGCCGGAUUAAUACCGCAUACGACCUGAGGGCGAAAGCGGGGGACCGAAAGGCCUCGCGCUAUUGGAGCGGCCGAUGUCGGAUUAGCAAGUUGGUGGGGCAAAGGCUUACCAAGGCGACGAUCCGUAGCUGGUCUGAGAGGACGACCAGCCACACUGGGACUGCGACACGGACCAGACUCCUACGGGAGGCAGCAGUGGGGAAUUUUGGACAAUGGGGGCAACCCUGAUCCAGCCAUGCCGCGUGCGGGAAGAAGGCCUUCGGGUUGUAAGCCGCUUUUGUUCGGGAAGAAAUCCUCUGGGCUAAUACCCCGGGGGGAUGACGGUACCGGAAGAAUAAGCACCGGCUAACUACGUG
rnacentral:rRNA from 1 species